UACAGAGGGUGCAAGCGUUAAUCGGAGUUACUGGGCGUAAAGGGCGCGUAGGCGGUUAUUUAAGUUUGAUGUGAAAUCCCUGGGCUUAACCUAGGAACUGCAUUGGAAACUGGGUAACUGGAGUACUGUAGAGGGUAGUGGAAUUUCCGGUGUAGCGGUGAAAUGCGUAGAGAUCGGAAGGAACACCAGUGGCGAAGGCGGCUACCUGGACAGAUACUGACGCUGAGGCGCGAGAGCGUGGGGAGCAAACAGG
rnacentral:rRNA from 1 species